rnacentral:rRNA from 1 species
AUUGAACGCUGGCGGCAGGCCUAACACAUGCAAGUCGAGCGGAUGAAGGGAGCUUGCUCCUGGAUUCAGCGGCGGACGGGGGAGUAAUGCCUAUGAAUCUGCCUUGAAGUGGGGGAAAACGUCCGGAAACGGGCGCUAAUACCGCAUACGACCUGAGGGAGAAAGUGGGGGGUCUUCGGACCGCACGCUAUCAGAUUAGCCUAGGUCGGAUUAGCUAGUUGGUGGGGUAAAGGCCUACCAAGGCGAAGAUGCGUAACUGGGCUGAGAGGAUGAUCAGGCACACUGGAACUGAGACACGGUCCAGACUCCUACGGGAGGCAGCAGUGGGGAAUAUUGGACAAUGGGCGAAAGCCUGAUCCAGCCAUGCCGCGUGUGUGAAGAAGGUCUUCGGAUUGUAAAGCACUUUAAGUUGGGAGGAAGGGCAGUAAGUUAAUACCUUGCUGUUUUGACGUUACCAACAGAAUAAGCACCGGCUAACUUCGUG